GACGAACGCUGGCGGCGUGCCUAAUACAUGCAAGUCGAGCGGACGAAUCGGAAGCUUGCUUUUGAUUCGUUAGCGGCGGACGGGUGAGUAACACGUGGGCAACCUGCCCUGUAGACGGGGAUAACACCGAGAAAUCGGUGCUAAUACCGGAUAACACGAAAUGUCGCAUGACGUUUCGUUGAAAGACGGCUCACGCUGUCGCUACAGGAUGGGCCCGCGGCGCAUUAGCUAGUUGGUGAGGUAACGGCUCACCAAGGCGACGAUGCGUAGCCGACCUGAGAGGGUGAUCGGCCACACUGGGACUGAGACACGGCCCAGACUCCUACGGGAGGCAGCAGUAGGGAAUCUUCCGCAAUGGACGAAAGUCUGACGGAGCAACGCCGCGUGAGCGAAGAAGGCCUUCGGGUCGUAAAGCUCUGUUGUUAGGGAAGAACAAGUAACGCAGUAACUGGCGUUACCGUGACGGUACCUAACGAGAAAGCCACGGCUAACUACGUG
rnacentral:rRNA from 1 species